GACGAACGCUGGCGGCGUGCUUAACACAUGCAAGUCGAACGGAAAGGCCCUGCUUGCAGGGUACUCGAGUGGCGAACGGGUGAGUAACACGUGGGUGAUCUGCCCUGCACUUCGGGAUAAGCCUGGGAAACUGGGUCUAAUACCGGAUAGGAGCCAUUUUUAGUGUGAUGGUUGGAAAGUUUUUUCGGUGUAGGAUGAGCUCGCGGCCUAUCAGCUUGUUGGUGGGGUAAUGGCCUACCAAGGCGGCGACGGGUAGCCGGCCUGAGAGGGUGGACGGCCACAUUGGGACUGAGGUACGGCCCAGACGCCGACGGGAGGCAGCAGUGGGGAAUAUUGCACAAUGGGCGCAAGCCUGAUGCAGCGACGCCGCGGGGGGGAUGACGGCCUUCGGGUUGAAAACUCCUUUCGCUAGGGACGAAGCUUUUUGUGACGGUACCUAGAUAAGAAGCACCGGCUAACUACGUG
rnacentral:rRNA from 1 species